rnacentral:rRNA from 1 species
GGGUUGUGAGGUUAAGCGACUAAGCGUACACGGUGGAUGCCCUGGCAGUCAGAGGCGAUGAAGGACGUGCUAAUCUGCGAUAAGCGCCGGUAAGGUGAUAUGAACCGUUAUAACCGGCGAUUUCCGAAUGGGGAAACCCAGUGUGACUCGUCACACUAUCAUUAACUGAAUCCAUAGGUUAAUGAGGCGAACCGGGGGAACUGAAACAUCUAAGUACCCCGAGGAAAAGAAAUCAACCGAGAUUCCCCCAGUAGCGGCGAGCGAACGGGGAUGAGCCCAGAGCCUGAAUCAGCAUGUGUGUUAGUGGAAGCGUCUGGAAAGGCGCGCGAUACAGGGUGACAGCCCCGUACACAAAAGCGCAUAUGCUGUGAGCUCGAUGAGUAGGGCGGGACACGUGGUAUCCUGUCUGAAUAUGGGGGGACCAUCCUCCAAGGCUAAAUACUCCUGACUGACCGAUAGUGAACCAGUACCGUGAGGGAAAGGCGAAAAGAACCCCGGCGAGGGGAGUGAAAAAGAACCUGAAACCGUGUACGUACAAGCAGUGGGAGCCCCACCACUAAGCCAGUGGUGAACUCCACAUACGCAUCCUUUGCUGAGGAUGCGGUUAACGGAGCGAAAGCGACGUUCAACCGCAAAAGAAGCAGAGGGGGCUUAGUGGUGGGGUGACUGCGUACCUUUUGUAUAAUGGGUCAGCGACUUAUAUUCUGUAGCAAGGUUAACCGAAUAGGGGAGCCGGAGGGAAACCGAGUCUUAAUUGGGCGUUAAGUUGCAGGGUAUAGACCCGAAACCCGGUGAUCUAGCCAUGGGCAGGUUGAAGGUUGGGUAACACUAACUGGAGGACCGAACCGACUAAUGUUGAAAAAUUAGCGGAUGACCUGUGGCUGGGGGUGAAAGGCCAAUCAAACCGGGAGAUAGCUGGUUCUCCCCGAAAGCUAUUUAGGUAGCGCCUCGUGAAUUCAUCUCCGGGGGUAGAGCACUGUUUCGGCUAGGGGGCCAUCCCGGCUUACCAACCCGAUGCAAACUGCGAAUACCGGAGAAUGUUAUCACGGGAGACACACGGCGGGUGCUAACGUCCGUCGUGAAGAGGGAAACAACCCAGACCGCCAGCUAAGGUCCCAAAGUCAUGGUUAAGUGGGAAACGAUGUGGGAAGGCCCAGACAGCCAGGAUGUUGGCUUAGAAGCAGCCAUCAUUUAAAGAAAGCGUAAUAGCUCACUGGUCGAGUCGGCCUGCGCGGAAGAUGUAACGGGGCUAAACCAUGCACCGAAGCUGCGGCAGCGACACUAUGUGUUGUUGGGUAGGGGAGCGUUCUGUAAGCCUGUGAAGGUGUGUCGUGAGGCAUGCUGGAGGUAUCAGAAGUGCGAAUGCUGACAUAAGUAACGAUAAAGCGGGUGAAAAGCCCGCUCGCCGGAAGACCAAGGGUUCCUGUCCAACGUUAAUCGGGGCAGGGUGAGUCGACCCCUAAGGCGAGGCCGAAAGGCGUAGUCGAUGGGAAACGGGUUAAUAUUCCCGUACUUGGUGUUACUGCGAAGGGGGGACGGAGAAGGCUAUGUUGGCCGGGCGACGGUUGUCCCGGUUUAAGCGUGUAGGUGUGUGUUCCAGGUAAAUCCGGUUCACUUUAACACUGAGGCGUGACGACGAGGCACUACGGUGCUGAAGCAACAAAUGCCCUGCUUCCAGGAAAAGCCUCUAAGCAUCAGGUAACAUCAAAUCGUACCCCAAACCGACACAGGUGGUCAGGUAGAGAAUACCAAGGCGCUUGAGAGAACUCGGGUGAAGGAACUAGGCAAAAUGGUGCCGUAACUUCGGGAGAAGGCACGCUGACACGUAGGUGAAGUGAUUUACUCAUGGAGCUGAAGUCAGUCGAAGAUACCAGCUGGCUGCAACUGUUUAUUAAAAACACAGCACUGUGCAAACACGAAAGUGGACGUAUACGGUGUGACGCCUGCCCGGUGCCGGAAGGUUAAUUGAUGGGGUCAGCGCAAGCGAAGCUCCUGAUCGAAGCCCCGGUAAACGGCGGCCGUAACUAUAACGGUCCUAAGGUAGCGAAAUUCCUUGUCGGGUAAGUUCCGACCUGCACGAAUGGCGUAAUGAUGGCCAGGCUGUCUCCACCCGAGACUCAGUGAAAUUGAACUCGCUGUGAAGAUGCAGUGUACCCGCGGCAAGACGGAAAGACCCCGUGAACCUUUACUAUAGCUUGACACUGAACAUUGAGCCUUGAUGUGUAGGAUAGGUGGGAGGCUUUGAAGUGUGGACGCCAGUCUGCAUGGAGCCGGCCUUGAAAUACCACCCUUUAAUGUUUGAUGUUCUAACGUGGACCCGUGAUCCGGGUUGCGGACAGUGUCUGGUGGGUAGUUUGACUGGGGCGGUCUCCUCCUAAAGAGUAACGGAGGAGCACGAAGGUUGGCUAAUCCUGGUCGGACAUCAGGAGGUUAGUGCAAUGGCAUAAGCCAGCUUGACUGCGAGCGUGACGGCGCGAGCAGGUGCGAAAGCAGGUCAUAGUGAUCCGGUGGUUCUGAAUGGAAGGGCCAUCGCUCAACGGAUAAAAGGUACUCCGGGGAUAACAGGCUGAUACCGCCCAAGAGUUCAUAUCGACGGCGGUGUUUGGCACCUCGAUGUCGGCUCAUCACAUCCUGGGGCUGAAGUAGGUCCCAAGGGUAUGGCUGUUCGCCAUUUAAAGUGGUACGCGAGCUGGGUUUAGAACGUCGUGAGACAGUUCGGUCCCUAUCUGCCGUGGGCGCUGGAGAACUGAGGGGGGCUGCUCCUAGUACGAGAGGACCGGAGUGGACGCAUCACUGGUGUUCGGGUUGUCAUGCCAAUGGCACUGCCCGGUAGCUAAAUGCGGAAGAGAUAAGUGCUGAAAGCAUCUAAGCACGAAACUUGCCCCGAGAUGAGUUCUCCCUGAGACUUUAAGUCUCCUGAAGGAACGUUGAAGACGACGACGUUGAUAGGCCGGGUGUGUAAGCGCAGCGAUGCGUUGAGCUAACCGGUACUAAUGAACCGUGAGGCUUAACCUUACAACGCCGAAG